rnacentral:rRNA from 1 species
AGUGAACGCUGGCGGUAGGCCUAACACAUGCAAGUCGAACGGCAGCACAGUAAGAGCUUGCUCUUACGGGUGGCGAGUGGCGGACGGGCGAGGAAUACAUCGGAAUCUACUCUUUCGUGGGGGAUAACGUAGGGAAACUUACGCUAAUACCGCAUACGACCUACGGGUGAAAGCAGGGGAUCUUCGGACCUUGCGCGAUUGAAUGAGCCGAUGUCGGAUUAGCUAGUUGGCGGGGUAAAGGCCCACCAAGGCGACGAUCCGUAGCUGGUCUGAGAGGAUGAUCAGCCACACUGGAACUGAGACACGGUCCAGACUCCUACGGGAGGCAGCAGUGGGGAAUAUUGGACAAUGGGCGCAAGCCUGAUCCAGCCAUACCGCGUGGGUGAAGAAGGCCUUCGGGUUGUAAAGCCCUUUUGUUGGGAAAGAAAAGCAGCAGGUUAAUACCCCGCUGUUCUGACGGUACCCAAAGAAUAAGCACCGGCUAACUUCGUG